rnacentral:rRNA from 1 species
GAUGAACGCUGGCGGCGUGCCUAAUACAUGCAAGUCGAGCGAACAGACGAGGAGCUUGCUCCUCUGACGUUAGCGGCGGACGGGUGAGUAACACGUGGAUAACCUACCUAUAAGACUGGGAUAACUUCGGGAAACCGGAGCAAAUACCGGAUAAUAUAUUGAACCGCAUGGUUCAAUAGUGAAAGACGGCUUUGCUGUCACUUAUAGAUGGAUCCGCGCCGCAUUAGCUAGUUGGUAAGGUAACGGCUUACCAAGGCAACGAUGCGUAGCCGACCUGAGAGGGUGAUCGGCCGCACUGGAACUGAGACACGGUCCAGACUCCUACGGGAGGCAGCAGUAGGGAAUCUUCCGCAAUGGGCGAAAGCCUGACGGAGCAACGCCGCGUGAGUGAUGAAGGUCUUCGGAUCGUAAAACUCUGUUAUUAGGGAAGAACAAAUGUGUAAGUAACUAUGCACGUCUUGACGGUACCUAAUCAGAAAGCCACGGCUAACUACGUG